rnacentral:rRNA from 1 species
UACAGAGGGUGCGAGCGUUAAUCGGAAUUACUGGGCGUAAAGCGUGCGUAGACGGCUAUCUAAGUCGGGUGUGAAAGCCCCGGGCUCAACCUGGGAAUUGCAUUCGAGACUGAAUAGCUAGGGUACGGUAGAGGGAAGUGGAAUUUCCGGUGUAGCGGUGAAAUGCGAAGAUAUCGGAAGGAACAUCAGUGGCGAAAGCGACUUCCUGGACCAGUACCGACGUUCAGGCACGAAAGCGUGGGGAGCAAACAGG